UGAGGUGAAGUGGUGACCCUAAACUGCCCCUAAGUGUGAUUGUGAAUGUGUGUGUGUGUGUGUGUGUGUGUAGUGUGUGUGUGUGUUUGUCAUGUAAUGGA